UCCUCCUCUUUUUUCCUCCUCCCCUUCUUCUUCCUCCUCUUCUCCUCCUUCUCCUCCUCUUUCUCAUCUCUUUCAGGUCCCAGGGCUUUCUGAACCAGACAAAAGACUGGGCCGCAGAGUCCGAGGGGUUUGAGGAGGGUUGAUCUGAGGGGAGGGGAGCCACUUUGGGCUCUCCGAUAGGCCCCACCUGAAGCCUCUUUACUCACCCAGAAGCCAGAGGUGUGCAUUAGGUUAUGCACUGAACUUAAUCAGGUUACUCCCCUAAGGUCAUGCUGCCAGAGAAAACUACUGUGUGGAAAUCCAUAAGAAGGUGUCACCAGGGAAGGCCCUUGUCCACCCCCAACAUACACCACACACACACACACACACACUCUCUCACUGCUUGCUCACCAGCUCCAGAGCUGCCAGGCUUCCUUCCUGGAUUGCUGGGCACAUGGGCGCCACUUCUGAGCUUCAGGACUCAAGGGAAGAAGCCAAGCUGGAGGAAGGCCGGAAGCCGACAGGAGAGACAUCAGACGUAACGGCACCAUGGGCUGUGCCGGAGCAGCAGAAGGGGUCACGGUUGCGGUGGGACCAAAACAGGACCAGUGACUGCUCCAAGCGGGAAGUGGGAGGCACCUCGGUGGAUCCCACGGCCAGUGGUGGCUGGACAGGCAGACAGGUCCUCCAGGAUGGGGGUGAUUCCACAGCUCUUCGGCAAUCACGGACUCCACAGACCAACCCCUGCCAAUGAAGAAUGGGCCUUCCGAGAACACCAGGGCAGCCCCACUGCCUGAUUGGGGUCUUCUCCUCUGCCCACACCCCUCCACCAAGAACCAAGAAAAUCACGGGUUCUAUGAUGGAUGAAGUAACCUGACCAGGCUCUCUGUUCUCCCCUGCUAUUAAAACGAGAUGCCAGAU